ensembl:lncRNA
UUCAGGGAAUGGCAUUUAAACAGUCCAGAGUCUGGAUGGGUCUGAACUGGCACCAGUUGCUAGAGCAGAUUGCAUAAAUGACCCAAAAGGGGUGGCAGAGAAUAUCUUUCCAACUCCCAAGAGCAGAGGGAUCCUAUUCAGGGAAGUUGUCUCAGCUGUCAGGGUAGCUCUUCCAUCUCGGUGGACUGAAAAAUAUCUGUAUUUUUCCCCUUGCAAAGUGAAAACAAAAGCUGGCAUUUGAACAACUGUUUUAAAAAGUGGAAGAGCUUCACGCUUCUGAGGCUUUAAUCUUCCAAAAUCCUAAUGAUGGCUUAUAAAAAAGCCUGUAAAGAAGGUGGUUCCCGCAGGCAGCGAGCUGUGCACUGACCCCAGGCUUCUGCAGCGACUACGUCUGGAGGAGUUUCUCCACUUGCUGGAAAGAAAACAUAAGGAGAAUUUUAGUGGGCAAAAUAAAGGCAUCUCUGCUCAUGUGAAUGCUCACCCAUGAGCACAACAGAGCAACACAUGUGAACCACAGAUUUUGUUUCUCUACUUUUCUUGCAGUCAUUCAUACUGUUACCUUUUUCAAUGUAUUGAUCUGCUUUUUCUGUAAACGGAGACCCCUUGUAAAGGGGUAAAUUCAGCUUGGAAGUAAUGUCUAGUAAUGUCUAGUUUCUGAUAUGCCUUUUUUCAAGGCUCACUGAGCUGAGGAAAAGGGUAUUUAAAAAGCAGACUUUGAAUAAUGCUUUAUUCAUUACACUAAAUAGCUUAUUCAUUUACUAAUCUGACCAAUUCUAACUACUGCUCGCUCAUUGUAUUCUCUCUGACUCACGAAGGAAGAAAAUAGAGACAAGUAGACUGUGUUGUCUGUGCCUGGCAAUUACGGUGCACAUCAGUGGUAGCAGGAUGAGUGGAAGUUCAAAUCCCUUUCUGCUGUAUUCUAUUAAUUCAAGAAACUGCUUUGUAUGAAAAUGCACAUAGGGCAGCACUUAGCACACAUAGUUCAGAGCCAGGAAGGUUGAGACAAUCAGCUGUAGAUGUACUCAGUUACUUCCUGCCAUCAUCUUUCCUCCCACGAAAUCCAGACUACUCAUGGAAAUCCUGAGCUAUUGCAGACUUUUUUUCUGGAAAAAUGACAUGUCACCAAGAUCUUUCAAAUUGCAAGAAAAGCUUUUGUUUUUUGUUAACUCUUUCAAGAAUCUCUUUUUACAACAAAAAACAAAUGCUUCAUUUUCCUUCAGAAGAGAAAAUUGUGUGAAGGAGGAAAACUUACAUAAGAAGCAGUGCUAUAAUGUUACUCCAAAAAUGUCAAACACACAUUUGUUCUUCGGAACAAAAAUUGGAAUUUUCUGUUUUAUUCUCCUGGUAAACCACUAGAUACAGUAUUUUAAUUAGAAGUAACUUUUGAUGACUGAGACAGAAACUGGACCAUGAAAAAGGGGUUCUUCCAGGAGAGAUGUUCAAAGUCCAUUAAGACCACCAUGAAAAUCUCUGUGGCCAUUUCAGUGACUUGCUUUGUUACCAAAUCUGCUCACUUCUUAAACUAGCUAGCCAAUUCAAUCCUUGCUUCAUUUUAGAAUGGGAAAAUAUUUAUUUAACAAGAAAACUGAGGAAUAGUACUUAUUUUUUAAAAGUCUACAAACACCAGUACAUAUGAAAGUGUAUGACUACUGAUGAACAAAGCUUUUGUGCCAAAGAAAACAAGGAACAGGGAAAACAAGAAAACAAGGCUUUAAGGUAGUGUUCCUGCUUUGUCAUGUAGAUCUUGUGCUGCAAAUUUGGAAUUACAAAAUUGAGGUGAUUGUAGAAUUUGUAUAAGUACCUGUUUUUCUUUCCCAUUUUCUUCAGUGACUUUAAACAGACCAAAACCCAAUCAAUUUUUCUGAAUAAUUCAAAAAUUUCAGUGGUGAUGGUGGUCUUAAGUCUCAAGGUAAUAACAUGAGGUUUUUGAGGCAAAGUUAUUCAAAUGGAAUUCAGGUGCUAACUCAGGACUUUAAAAUUUUCUGUUAAAAUAUAUACAAAGCAAUGAAAUUCAAUAUUUCUAAUGUAUCAGAAUAAUCUGCUUAUGCUGUUCUGUGCUGUUUUUGCUGUUUUGUGAAUCUCACUGUGGCUGGUAAAGAAUUUUGUUCAUUGCAGGUGAUCUGCAGUUCAAGGUUCUUCCUUAAGGAAUAAUUCUAAGAAGAUAUUAAUAAAAUUGGAAGAAAUUACCAAGGUAAGCUGCAGAGAACAAAGAGAAGUUCUCCAUUAAGACCAGAAACUUGGCCCACGGUAUUUAGGUGAAUCACUUUAGAGUAUCUCCCAUAUAUCGUAUAUUUGGGAUAGUCUCAGCCUCUAAAAUAUACGGAAAUCUAUUUGUGGCCUGUAUUUCAAAUAAAAAUACUAAAAAAUUACUCUAACACUUUAGAGAGUUUUUAAACUAACCAACAUUUAUGAUUUGAUCAUUUGUGAACAACUAUCAGCUAUCUCUAUAGGCAUUAGGAACCCAUUUCUGAACCAAGACAUUUCUUCCUCACUUUCCUAAUACCUCUGGAUCUGGGGUAUCAGUUUUGAAAGAUUUAACUCUUACAUGAAAAUACAAGAUCUUCAAGCCUAUGCAUUGUCACAGCAGAGAAAAUCUUACCUUACAUUACAGUCAAACAUUAGUGCAGCACAUUUUAGGAAAUCCGAAGGGCAGAUACAGUGACAAGCCUAUUAUAGCUGAUGUGAAUGCGAUUGUACAUUUUUGAUUACAUAGCCUUUUCUAGUGGACCAAUGUCAGCCAAAUUGUUAAAAUGCUUACCAAUAGGACGUGUCCUUCCUUAUUCUUUAUGUCUUGCUGUUGGAAAACUGAAGUAGGAAACCUGUUUCCAGUCAAUUCUAAAUAAGAGUAGCCAAGUUUGUGGAAAAAUACAGAUGAAUACGGCCUGGACAGGCGACUAGCCCAUGAGAAAGAGCUCUUGCUGGCUUGGGAACACAAGUGAACUGCCUCUAGAUUCUGGAUGCAGCUAGAAGAAACUCCCUUGAGAAAUACUUCUCUGUAGUAACUAAGUAUCCUUGCUUUCUGCCCAUGACUCUGCUUAUCCUAAUACACCAUACUUUAUUGUCUCCUGCAUUUAUAUGUAUGGCCAUGCUACCAGUGGGUUGUGUGGAAUUCUUGUCAGCGAGUCACCACCAGAACCUGUUGGAGGUAAUCCCAGUGUAGACAUUCUAUCAGCCAGCCGCCACCAGUAAUGAGGACUUGGGGGAGUGUCCACCAGCCAGCCCCCCUGGUAACAUGAGGACCUCUCUAUCAAACUGAUGAAAGUUAACUUCUUGCCUCCAUGUACUCUCUUCAGGAUGGGUAAACCUUACACAAAAGAGCUGUCAUUUUUGCAUUACACAAAGUAAGCUAAGGUAAAUCAAGUUAGUGACGUAAAUCCAACUUUCAUAAAUUAAGGGGUGUUAAACCAUUUCUUUGUCAUUUAAUUUCUUCAGGACUGCAGCUGUAGAUUUGCUGAAGGACUGAGCUCACUUCUUGUUAUUGAUUGUUCUUAAGUUUCAUGUAUUUUAGACAAUUCCAAGAGUAAGACAACAGAGUGGCUGUGGCUUCUGUGUCUUUGGAGAUAUUCAAAACCCAGCUGGGCAUGGUGCUGAGCAACCCUCAUGGACCCUACUUUGAGCAGAGUAGUAUGACUUGACUAUUUUCAAGGGUCCUUUCCCACCUCAGGCAUUCUAGGAUUCUGUGUAGACAUGUUGCUGUUGUCAAGCUGUUAGUGAAGAAAUAUGAGCAAAAUUUUAAUCUUUAAAUUUUCCCCUGCCAUCACAUUUACAGAUACACUUUGUAUACACAUAUACUUUAAGAUGAGCUUUUAACUACUGAAUUAUCCUUUCUGUAAUAUAGUGAAUUGUUCAAAUGUAAGACCUUUUAAAUGGGAAAUUUAGAUGUUAUGCCAGCAAUUCCUCUUCAGAAUUCAGAAUCAGUUGCCAAUUAAGUGGUUAUUGACUUUAUCUUUGGUCUAUGAGAAACUUUCUCACCAGAUCUUCUCUGAUUUUUCAUUUUGGAUGACUUACAACGUACUCAUUUUGAUAGUAUUUACUGUUGUUUUUAUUUCCCCUUGCUGGUUCCAGUGUACUGUAAGAUGUUAAGUGAAUUUAGCCAUAAAUGACAUAAACCUUUCAGUAGUCUUAGUAUUUACCCAGAUUGGCUUAUUUCUAUAUCUCUUCAAAUGUUCUGAAUUUGAUCUCUUGCUGAAUAAUCUGGAUGUUCAGUAUCUGUUUAAGAAGAACUGUAUCCACUUAAUGGAAGCACGCAAGGAUGCAGAGCACUGGAAAGCAGCAGAACUCCUAAUUUAGUCCACUGUCUGUAUUUAUCGCUGUUGUUCAGUGUGUGUGCCUUCCCUCCCACCCCAGCUGCCAACACACAGAUGGCAUUCCCAGCAAAGUAAACAAUUUGGAUUCAGUACACUAUUUGUGGUCUGGAAAUGGGAGCAGCUGACUGGGAGAAGGGAGGAAGGGGAGGGCUAGCUUUACAUAUUUUGGGUCAAGUUCUGACCUGAAUUAUACCUAGUCACUGCAGGGAGGUCCUGGGGCUACCAGCGGCAGGGGUCAAGACAAGGUCUGGUACUGUACACACUUGGUACAUUCUGAGGUUUGGAUUUAAAUUUCCAUCCUAUGCAAUUAUUGAGUUCUAGCAUUUUAGCAACUUUAAAUAAUUAAAAGGCCUGGAAAAAAAAAUAGGUAUUGUUUGCCUUAGAAACCAAGUGAAAACAAUGAGGAAGAAGAAGGCACCUCUGCAAAGUUGUUACGAUUAAACCCAGACAAACAGUGGAACAUUUGCAGUGUCUAUGAACAGAUGUCUAAUGACAAGCAAACAAAACAGUAAUUCUUAAAUAAUGAUUUAUCUUUGGUUUAUUUUUAAAGGCCUUUUACUCAGCCCUUUCAUAUUAGUCAUUUUGAUAUGCUUAUAGUAUUGUAUGCUAGCCCCAGUGUCUACUUAGAAACAUGACUGUCUGGGGUUGGAUGCAAGAGAAGAAGAAAGGAGAGACAAGGUUUUUUUUAGACUAGAAGAUAACAUAGGCACAGGUGCCCCAGAUUUUUUCUUCAGAAAAGAAUUCUUCAGAAAUUUCAGGUGCCUGUAACAUUUUCAGACUUUCCUUUCCCAAAGCAGCACAUGACCCAGAGUGAAAAGCUUCAGAUAAAAUGAUUUUGCUGAACAAAGGCUAAGAGAAAAUGUUGCUCUUUUAGGAAUCUUAAAAAUAUUUCUGCAACUGUUUUUUGUUGAGAAGCUCUAGUACCUCCAUGUGUUGCAAUGAUUUGGCACAUCUGACAGCAGGAUUUUUUUUUUUUUUUUUGGCCAUUUUUGAAUGAGUUAAAACUUAUUCAAAAUACAUCUCACAGUAAGAGUUUCUUAAAAAUAUCAGUUCAUAAAUGCACGGCAGAGUUCUUACUGCUCAGCUGCAGUGGGGCCACUGAAGCAUCAGAUCUGAGAGAAGAGACAGAUGUCCUUUCCAGUGACUUGGGCUAGAUUUAAGCAGGUACUGGCCCACCUGCUGGGCACUGCUCCUGUAUCUCAGAUGUCAUAGAUGAUUAUCUGAAUGCUCGAACUCAGAUUGAGUGCAAGUGCAGGAAAGCAGUGCCAUUCACUGACAGUGCUAUCCGAACAGUCCCCAGCUGCUCAUUCCCAGCCUAUACUGUCUUUCAGUUGACCUUGUAACAUUGUUUAUGGGUCUGUGUGACAACUGGAUCAGAUAUUCCCCACCCUCUCAAAAAGGAAAAGAAGAAAAACAAAAAAAACAAAAACAAACAAACAAGAACAACAACAACAAAAAACAACCAAAGAAAGUUCCAGUUAUUCUUAGCCUGAACUCUGUCAAUACAGGGAUGAUUGCCAAUAGAUUUGUUAGACUGUAACUGUCUGUACCCUGAGAGAUCAAGAAGAGGGAGACUGUCUUUUCCAUGCACUGAUUUUUCCUCUUGUUUUUUUGUGUGCAGAUAUCAUAAGGAGACCAAAAUGUAUUCACACCUGCAGUACAGUCAGGACAGCAAAGUGAGCAGCUGAGGGCUGGCAUUCUGCCUUCAGAAAGCAGACAGCUGUGGCUGGUAAUCCCCUGAACUGCCACUGUAGGGUUUGAUAAAGCUUAUAAAGCCUCUCUGGCAGAGCUCCUCAUGCUCUACCACCUUAAAAGGCAACUAAGAAGUGUUAAUAGUGUUUAUGUAUGAAGUCAAAGUCUCUGCUGGUGCCAUGAGCACUUUGUUAAGCACAAGAAAUGCAUUAAUGUUUCUGUCUAGAGCCACAAGCAAAAUUCUUUAUUGACCAGGAGGAAAGUUUUGUAAUCUAUUUGAAUAAUAUCCCUUUAAUUAGAAUCAGAAAACACAGGACUAUCAGACUUUAUAAUCAAUCAGUUAGUGAUAAUGCAAAGAUUUCCCACUGUUCCUUGGACAAACCACUUACAAAAGCAGGCUUGUAUUUUUAAACAGAAAUUGGAUUUGAAAGAGAUGUGGCACAAAGGUACCUUAUAGUCUUUGUGCACUAUAAAGAGUUUCAAUGGUGGGAAUAAUUUUGGCUCAUUGGUGCUUGCUGUUGCUUUCCACAAGGAGCCCACGGGGAACCUAUAAGCUUUUUAUAAGAGGCCUGGAGGCCUGUGAAAAAUUACCUGUGAAAAUUCAGGAUUUGCUUUGUAAAGCUCUGCUCUUCCACUGGGUCAAAAAAGAAAACUAGGAGCCUGAAACUGGUAUAGAAGCAUACAUUUGUGCUGUAGAUGACUGCAUGCUAAUACCUGUGUAGUCAAGCACGUGUGUUUGCCCACUAUGGUCUUAAUCAUCUUUUGAGUUCUCAGGUAGAUUUCUCAGUGAUCUGAAUUCUUGGGAUGCCAACAAAAGAAAACUCAAAUUUAUUUAAGGAACUUAUAGGGUUUAAACAGAUAUAUACAUUGGGAAACAAAAUGGAGUGAUUGGAAUGAUGAUUUUAAAUAAAUACCAAAAAAAAAAAAAAAAAAGAAAGAAAGAAAAAAAAAGAAAGAAAAGAAAGAAAGAAAAAAAGAACAACCUCAAACUGAACAAGCUGUGUUUCAUUCUCUUGUUUAAUUAAAUUUUUUGAGAACUCCCUUUUUGAAAAGCAUAUGUGACACAGAUUUCCUAGUCAUUUGGGAAUGAGUUAGAUAUGUGUCUGCAUAUUAUUCAAAUUCCAGCUGAUUAAGACGCUGUAUAUACCAGAAGUUUCCUGUGAUAUUUCUAUGGUUUAUUGUGAACAGCAAAAGUAGCUUGGAACUUUUAGAUGAAAUGAUUUUCAUCCAAAAACACACCUAUUUGUCUAAGCCAAAACAUGGUAGGAAGUGGAUCAAAUAAGAUUUCAAAACACUGAAAAACUGAAUUUGAUAAAAACACAUUUUUAACACUUCAAAGGUUUUGUUCUCUCAAAAAUGGCUUUUAGUUACAAAAUAUACACUAGUUCUAGUACAAUCCAAAUAUUCUUAGAUAACCUAAAAGAAAUAUUGCCAUUGACUCUUUUGACAUUAUCAUUAUUUUUAGUUCCAAAACUUUAUCAAGGUCUUAAUUUGUAAUAUCUUUUUUCUCUCAGUUCAAGAAAGGGAUGUUUUCACAGGAUGGGAAACAGUCCAAAUCCAGUCCUAAUUUAGUCCCUUAUGUUACACAGAACUUGGUUGAACUUGGUAGAAGGGAAUAAAGCAGAACCACAUAAGAACCUCAGGAAAAAAAAAAAAAAAGUUCUACUUUCCCUUUACAUCUGUUCCCUAGCCUUUAAUCAUCCAUUAUCAGCUAUAGUUCUGGUAUGAUUGAUUAUUACCAGGUAUCCAUUCCAGCAAGUAAAGAAUAAUGGUAAAGGAUAAUCUGAAUCUACUGUUUAUGCAAAUGUUCAUGAUUCUCUACUCAAUGACUAAACAAAUACAAAACUUUUUCUAUUCUUUCAAGCAGGGUUAUUUAUUUUAUAUGUUAUAGAUUGAUAUUUACAAAUUAAUCCUUUUUAAAAAUGAAAAAAAAUUUGCAUGUUUGUGUCUCUCUUUCAUAUGAUAAUGAAAAUAAACCUUCUGUUAUUAUGUAGUUGUUUUAUUUCAAGAUAACACAGAAAGAAAACUAGCAUGUUGACUUCAGUUCAUUAGGGAACAACAGAAAAGUUAUCUCUCAUUUUAUGUCCUGAAAAAAUACUGGUUUACCUCAAGUUAUGAUAUACACCAAAUGACUACUGUUCUGCUUCAGUGGUUGAAAAUGCAAAAAAUUAUUUGUAUGUUACUACAUUUUAUUUCAAAGAAAUCUUUUCUUAUUCAUUAUAAGUUUAUUUUUUUAAUUUAGUUACAUGACCUAGAAGUUGUAGUGACUGAAAGCGGACAGUUGGAGGUGAGAUAUCAAGUCUCAAGCUUCUACUGGGAAAAUAUGUAGAAAAAGAAAGUGUGAUUACGGAUGUUUUGUUGAUAAUAUGGGAAAAAGGAAACAGAAGAUUUCUGUCCUUCUUGGAAAAGAGCGCUGUGAGAAUUUCUGACAGCAGAAGUUGAAUCUGAGAUCUGGGUACACUGAAGCCAAUGAUGAACCUCCUGAAAACAUCAUGUCACUGGAGCUGUUUGUCAGGUAGAAGAACAUCUGAAGGCCCUGGAAAAGGAAAGUCACCAGACAGCAGCUCACUCAUAUCUUUGUUGUCACCUUAGAGAAUUAGAGGUGACACUCAAUUUAGAAAAUACUGGGUUUAACUGUAAAUAACGCUUUCAGAAUUUCAUUAAAGAAAGAGUUGACAACUGAACUUUACAACGUUCACUUGCAGGUGCCAGCAGUGGGACAACUCCUCUUUGCCUGACUCAGAUUCAGAGGGGCUUUGGGUUGCCCCAGGCCCAAGAAAGACAAAGGGCGUGUACUGCUAUCCAAUCCAUGAGCUCAUUGAAAAAGGUGAUUUCCUCAAGGCAGAAUUUACAUUUUUGCUGUGUUGGCCAACAUGGUACACAUGUUGGGUAGAUCAUCAACUGCUGUUACUUGUCAUAGUUCUAUGGAAUUUGGUGAAGUCUGAGCAAUCCAUACAAUAUGAGGAUUUCACCUAUAUAAGAAGAAUCAAAGAAUAUUUUACAUUCAGUCAUUUUUCAUGACAGAGGAAUGACUUGAUCAAUACCUUUUUAUAGGGCAUAUGUAACUACAGAAUUAAUUCAAGUAGGUUGUUUUUUUCUUUUUUUAAUAAGCUGGAAGUUCUAUGAUUUUUACACUUUCAUAUGCUCAUUAACUCAUCAUUUACUAUGAAUCCAUCCACUUGCAGAGCUUGAUAUAUAUGUGAUUUGACAAUUACAAUUCUUUCUGUUUAAGGACAAAUUUCAAUUUUCUUGUAAUUUCACCCACUGGAAGGAUAGAAGUAUUCUUUUUCUUUUACAGAGAUGAGUAAUUUUCCAUCAUAUCAUGUGUGGUGGCACUUUUUUUUCUUGAAGAGUUAAAGGCUAGAUGAAAACUUCAUCCUACUUUAUCUUCUCUUUAUAUUACUUGCAGAGUCUUCUCUCUUAGUUAUCUGCUCCUGACAUUUUUAGUCUUAGUUCUGUUCGGUGUCCUUUAUCUGACUCAUAUUGUUCAGAUUGAUCCUUAGAAGAUUCUCUACAAACUGCAGGAAUUAUUUAAAAUCAGGCUGCAAGAAGGGCCAUCCCAGCUCAGACUGAAAAAGACCCAUCUAGCCCAGUAUCUUGGCUCCAAAAAUGAGGACAAAUAGUGAAAAGUGGACGAUUACUGAAGAUUAUAAUAAAAUGAUAAGCUUGCAGUGAUAACUACCCACAUAAUCUUCCCAGCUUCCAGUGAUACAAUAUCCUAAGUCUGAGGCUGCCUCUUUGCAUUUAAUAGGUCCUGGUGGAUGAGUUCGUCCAAGAGAUUUUUAAUUCAUGUCAGCUUCUGUAAACCUCAACAUCUUGUGACAAGCAAAUUCAAAGUUGCCUAACUGCUGCAUGAGGCAACGCUUCUGGUUUUAUUUGUUUUGAAUUAACUAAUUAUUUUAUGCCUCCUUGUUUACUGUCUAUUGUGAUACAAAAACUUCCGUUCCCUCUGUGACCUGUCUUUGCUACUCCUGAUUUUAGAAAGCUUUUAUCUUUCCUUCCACUACCAUAGUGGAUUUCUUUUUUGUUUUGCUCACGUAUGCAAUUUACUGUAAAUUUAGCUGUUGAUAUGGAAAGACUUAAAUAAUGCCAGAUGUCUUUUCUGAUUGUUUUCAAGAAAUAUGGCUGUGGAUGUUUUGUUUCCUAAAUUUUCUUCCUUUCAUCUAAAAUGAUAUACUUGCCUCUACAAUUUCCAAGUUAACCUGAACAAAGUUAAAAGAUGGAAGAUAUUACUAUUUUUUUUAACACCCUACCUUUGUUAUUUGUGCAGUUGUUGCAAUUAAUAUUUGUCUUUUCUAAGAUAAGAGGUCAAUGUUCAAGUGCUUCCUCGCUGCUAGCAGCUGGUGGGCAUCCAUGGCUUAUCCCACAGAGUGCAAUCAGUACCUGACAGUACCCUCCCAGCUGCCCUGCUGCAUGGGAUCACAGUGUGCAAGGCUCUCAGCCACCUCCUGCAGUAUUUUGGAGCACUAAUGCAACAGUGCUAGCUUUCCAAGGAGGCUGGAAUUUACAGUUUCACUCUAAACAAGCUUCUGGACAAGGUCCAUCUGCAGCAGCUUUGUGAAACUGCAGUACAUGUAGAAUAACUGAGAAAGCCGUUGCAUGGGGCACACAAACUCCAAAUUCGGGAAAAUAACUUGUUAAGAGUGCUACCAAAUGAAUUUGCCAUUUUUCCCUUGUACUUUCAUUCUUGAUUAAUGGACUGACCUUGUCUGAGAGUACUCUGAAAGGCUCUGUCAGUUCAGUAGGCAAGAAAAACUUAAGAUACAGACUUGUAACUGCAUUUGCAGCAAUGAAUGCUAACCAGAAGGAGAAAAUCACAGAAUCAUAGAACCAUAGAAUUGUAGGGGUUGGAAAGGACCUCUGAAGAUCAUCUAGUCCAACCCCCUAUUAAGGCAGUUUCCCUACAGUAGAUUGCACAGGAAAGCAUCAAGGUGAGUUUUGCAUAUCUCCAGAGGAGAAGUCACAACCUGUCUGGGCAUUCUGUUCCAGUGCUCUGUAACCCUCAAAGUAAAGAAGUCUUUUCUCAUGUUCAUAAGGUACUUCCUGGGUUUCAGUUUGUACCUGUUGUCUCUGGGCUUCCACUUGCUUCCGGCACUUUAUAAGCAUUGAUAAGAUACCCUCUCAGUCUCUUUUCCAGGCUGAACAGCCCAAGGUCUCUCAGCCUUUUCUUGUAAGGGAGAUGCUCCAGGUCCCUAACCAUCUUUGUGGCCCUCUGCUGGACUCUCUCUAUAAGCUCCCUGUUUUUCUUGAACAGAGGAGCCCAGAACUGGACACAGUACUCCAGAUAUGACUUCAGGGCAGAAUAGAAAGGAAGGAUCACCUCCCUUGUCCUGUUGGCCAUACUCUUUUUAAUGCACCCCAGGAUACCAUUGGUCUUCUUGCCCACAAGGGCACACUGUUGCCUCAUGGUCAACUGUUCUCCAUCAGGACACCUAGGUCCUUCUUAGCAGACCUCCUUCCCAGCAGGUCAGCCCCUAACCUGCACACGAUUUCUAUUCCCCAGGUAUAGCAUUUUACACUCACCCUUGUGAAGCUCAUAAAGGUACCUCUCCAUUCAACUCUCCAACAUAUCUAGAUCUUGCUGAAUGGCAGCACAGCCAGAAAAAGGCAGUAAAUUAUUAUACGUUCCUAGAGGAAAUUAAAACUUGAUUUUUUUUUUUCCUGAAUUCACACACUGCAAAAGCUGGAGAAAUAUAUUUAAAUGCAAACUUGCAUCCUUGUUGUAACUGUGGUAUAACUGUGGUAUUAUUAGUAUGGUUGCAGGGCUGAGCUUUGCUAACAAAAUGCAAAAUCUUUUUAUUUUCAAUUUUUGCAAUAAUAUAUUUCAACAGCAAUACGUAGGCAAACCGUAGGAACUAUCUCCAUUUUCCUUGAAAUGUGCCCCGCAUUACAAAGUGCACACAUGGUGAUAUAAGAGAGCCAUUACAGACUUUGCUGGCUUGCCCAAGACAACUUUAAUAAAUGGAAGGGCCCCGUUCUAUUUCAGGACAGUGGAAGGUUAUGCUGUUCCCCUAUGAAACACACUGGAAUGGUCAUAAACACCAUCCACCUCAGAGCAUUUAAGACAGUAAUUAUACAAUUACUGUAAGGCACAAAUGAAUGAAAUCUUCUUUUAACGUCCUUUCAGUAUCUCAUGAGGGACUAUAAUAAAGAAGGGGACAGACUCUUAACAGGGUCUGCUGUGACAGGACAAGGGGAACGGUUUCAAACUGAAAAAGGGGAGAUUUAGACUGGAUAUGAGGAAAAAGUUUUUUAUGGGAAGGGUACUGGAACACUGGAACAGAUUGCCAGGUUGCCUAGAGAUGUGGUGGAAGCCUCAUCCUUGAAGACAUUCAAGAUCAGGCUGGAUGGGGCUCUGAGCAACCUGAUCUAGCCAUAGAUGUCCCUGUUCAUUGUAGGGGAAUUGGACCAGGUGGCAUUUAAAGAUCCUUUCCAAGUCAAAACAAUUGAUUCUAUGAUAUGCUGAAAUAAGCCUUUGCUAAGGUGUGGGCUUCAAUAUUUAGUAGAAAUUAGAGCUUGCAGCCAGAACCCAAGAUGAAGGGAGAACAUGUUCUGUCUGCAUUUUGGAUAUGAUAGGGCAUUUUGGAUAGGAAGUAUGUUGGUUAAGCUUCAAGCUUUAGGUGACUGUUUUUUGUCUCAGAAAUAUCAGUGUUCCUUUUGCCUACCUGAGGCCAUCCCUUGUCACUCACCAAGGAGUGGACCUUAGGUGCUCUUUGGUGAUCCUUUCUCAAUUUGCCUUGUGAGAUGAGGACAACAUGAACACAAGUGAGAGACCAGUGUUUUGAGAUAUUUUGUGUCUUCAGUGGCCAGUUAUAUCUGACUAAAAUGCUCCUACAUAUCUGCUUUGGUGUCCUCCUCAGAACAUUCAAAGCAGUACUUCAGUAGUACAAACCAGAGAGCCCGCAACAAUUCCUUGUCUGUAAGUGACUUAAGUUGUGUUUAAUGCUCUAGAACAACCUUAUUGCAACAUCACAGUGAUAUCUUCCAAACCCAGCUCUUUAUAAAGGCUGCAUUGUCUGCCAGACUGAUGUUAACACACAUGAUUUAAAUGAUGACACAAGCAAAAGUUCUGCUCUAAAAUGAGGAAAUUAAAAAUAUCAAAAUAUUAUCUUUCCUCUUGCCAAUGAGAACAGCUGGCAGGAUGGGUUCACUGAACAAAACUUUGGCCAGUAGACGUAGGUUAUCAUUUCCACAGACUUUCCCUCUGAAAUACAGGAUUAACAAAACAUGCUAUUUAUUUUAUUUUAUUUUAUUUUGAAAUUGGAGCAUUUGUGCCUUUCAUCUGGUGAAAUUUAGCGUAAAAGUGAAAAUAAUAUCAAAGUUACAGGCGUCAUAGGGAGGCUGUUAAUGUGGGAACAAGGGGCAUUUGGCCAGUUAAAAUAAUAAAAGGCUAUACAACUUUCCCAGUGAUGGCUGAAACCCAAUUAGUACUUUCCAAGUAGAGCCACAAUAUUCCUUUCCAGAUUAUGCGGUUUGGCAUGAUUCAGAAUGAGUAAACUUGCUUUCCUACAAGGGAAAAAUAUAAUUAACAGGAAAAAAAAAAAAAAAAAAAAAGGUCAUGCAGCAUUAUGCUUUAAAUAAGCAAUAAUACACCAUGGGAUAUACAUUAAUCAGUCAAUAUUAAUACACCUUGGACAGGCUGAGGCAGAGGCAAAACAAUGUCUCAGCAUACAAAAACAUACAUAUGUUAUCCUGAUAAAACUUGCACCUAUGUGCAAGAAUGAAAUUCAAAUGAAUAUUGUAUUUCUUUACUGGACGAUAAGAAGGGAAGGUGGAUUCAGUGCUCAUGUGCAGAGUAAUCAAACAUCCUUCUUGAGAAGUACAUUUUCUACUAACAUUAUACACUUUAAAGCAAUAUGUGGUUUAGUUAUUUUCCUUUUGUUUGAACACCUGUUUUUUGUUUUGUUUUGUUUUGAUUGUGCUGCUGCUGAAGGCAGAAUGGUUUGGAAUAUUCUUUUUUUCUUAAUUUGUUAAAAGGGCUUGGAAACAAGAUACUCACACCAAAAGGCACUCCGUAUGUUCUUACUUAUAGUAAACAACUUCUCAGGACUCUGGAAGUGACAUAAAGCCUUCAAAGACUCAACAAACCUGGAAAUAAACUAGCAGGAUUAGAAAAACAAAACAGCAGUUUCCAAUUUGGAGGUGAAUGUGCAAAUGAAUUGUAAGGAUUGUUUUCUCUUCUGACUGGUUUUCAACAGUGUUUUUAAAAUGAGCAGAAUGUUCAGCUGAAGCUCAGAAAGAGGAGAACACUUGUAAAGCAAAGGAAAGCAUGGUAACCCAUGGUAAAUACAUAGUAUGGCGGCAGAAUGAAAACAGCUCUGCUGGGAGAUCUGCUUAUUGCUCAGCUAAUUACUCUGUUCAUGAGAAAGCAGAGUGAUAUGCUCGGCGGAAGAUGAAAAAAAGAAGAAAAAGUAAAACUUCAAAAACCUGGGAACCACACCCAUCACCUGAAGCUUAGACCACACACCUGAAAGGGAGGAACCUACAUCCAGUCCCAGCACAGAGUAUGAACAUCCUUAUCUUCCUUUCAACUCCACCAUUUUGCAGUUAUUUUAUGUACUUACAGAGAGUGUUUGUAAGGGAGGAAUUGCUUUUUCAUUUCUUGCUUCUUCAAUAGUUAAAAUAACUUGUGAUAUCAGAAACUUUGAUGAGCUGCAGUGCUGCUCCUGCAUUACUGUCCCAAGUUCAGUCCAGUCCCAGCCCCAAAUGUGUCUCCUUUCUCUGUGAAGAUCCCACACAGUCAUCUGAACAGCCCUCCCUGCUGUACUGUGGGUGAAGGAGGAGGAAAUGCAUGUGCAGUGGAUGGAGGAGUUUAUUUGUGACCUGCUGUAUUGUACCAAGAGUCACAUAUAUGUUACAUGCCUUCUCUCCAAGUUAAUCCACAAAUCAAUAACUGAUUGUAUAUAGCACUCCGCUGUCAUCUACACAAGUUAAGAUAUGCCCUGAAACACCUGAUUCUAAGGAGUUACUUGAAAGACAGGAAAAUCCUCAUGAGCCAUAGAAUUGUUCUAAGUAUUAAACCAAUUCAAAGAAAAAAAAAAGAAAACAAAAGGCCCAAAGCCUUGUGUUGUGGACUCCAUGAUUUUAAACUGCUCCCACUUCUGGCAGACUGAAGGGAAAGAGAAGGCAGCACUGCGGCAAAGCUCAGAGAGAGGGGCUGUCCCACCUGCCUGCAUGGCAUGAGAGCAUCAGUGCUGAUGCACAGCCUCUACUUCUCAGAGCUGAACCUUCUGCAGUUUUGUUCUUGAAUCAGUACAUUUCUCCUUGCAAUUUGUGAAAUCCUUCCGCUGGACAUACAUUAGAACAAGUAUUAUUGCUCCUUGGAGUUUUACCACAUGUUCUACCAUCACCUCUCUAUCUAAAAACGAACCUUAACCCUGUUCUCUUCUUAAGACAGAUUCACCUCACUGAUGGUAAGGAAUGGACAUGUAUAAUUCUGUGGUCUAACAGAUUUAUGCAACAUAAGCAUGAAGAAAUGAAAAUGAUACAUAAAUACAAAGAAGGACCAAAAAUUUCUAUGCCUAAAGACAACUUCUCUAUAUUUCCAUACUUAUAAAUCUAUUUUUAGGAAACAACAGCCUGAUUUCACCUUAAAUCAGAGCUCCAAAAAAUCUUUUGGAAAGGAACUCACCAUAAGAAAUUAAGAGUGAAUGACCGAGGAAAAAAAAAAUCUCUGUUUUACAUGGAAAAUAUUUUCUGAAUACUUUCUCAUAUUAAUACGAAAUGGGUUUUUACUUUGUAUUAACUAAUUAAUGAGACAAGCUUCUGAUAUGAACACAACCUUCUUAGCUUGGAAAAUUUUAUUGAUUUUAAGUUCAGAUGACAUAAGAAUGUUUUUCACAAGAGAAAAAGUCAUUAUUUUACACUAAGAAAAUAAUGCAAUAUUUCUCAUAUAAAUAACUGUUCAAGGGUGAUUCUGUGCUCUGAAGCCCCCCCAAGCUGUUUCUAAUAGCUUAACAUGUUUUCUGCAUAGAAGAUUUAUUAAUGGCUAAAUUAUGCCAUGGAAAAAACACCUUGUCAAACAACAAUCCCGUAUUUACCUGCAAAACCCACUAUCCUUACACACAGCAAUUGUAUUUUAUUUUCCUUGUGUUUUUGUUCUUGCAGUGCUUUCAUCACCCCUGUGGUUCCAUGUACCCUCCAGCGCAAUGCGCAUUAAGCAAUGCGACUGAUAUCUGUCAUGUGUAGUUUAAUUCUUUCUUAAUUAGCCUAACACCUCUAUCAGACUAAAAUCAGUCAUACGGUAUUAUAAUCUACGGCAUGUCUUACUUUGCGUCAUGUUUCUCUUUGUAAGGUGGUUUGUAAAUCGCUUUCCUUUAGCAACUCAGUAAGUCUAUCAUUACUGAAAGAGGAGGAUAAUGACAAAGCUCUGUCCCAGUCUGGCAAAUACUUUAGCUAACCUCAACCAGCAAAAAAGAAAGUGAAUUAGGGAAAAAGGUUGCUUUCACAUUAAUCUUGUCAAGCCAGAAUGAUCAUUCGGUUACACCCUGCUGCAAACAUCUGAUGUCUGAACUUGUCUGAAAUACUUCUUAAAAAUCAUGAGUUGGAGGUCAAAUAAAGUAAUCUCUUCUAACAGAAAUAUCACCUCUUUUAUUUUUGAAGCCACUAUUUUUAUAUGCUAGGUUUAUAGACAUCAUAGAUCUCAGGAUUUAUAGAAUCGAAGCCUUCCAAACUCACCUUAACAAAAUGAAAAAUAAGUAGACUUCUUCCUCCUUUGAUGAAAGUCAUUAUGUUAACACUGAAAAAUGUCCACAGCUUAUCUGCUUGGUAUACCAGUCAUUAGUCCACAGCUAUCAGCUCCACAGGGAUUGUCUAAACAGAAUACAACACAUUAAAACAUGACUAGAAACACAUCAAAAAUGUAACAUGUUCACUUAACCACCUCAACAUCAAAGAAGGUAUUACGCAGCAACAGCCAAGGAGGGAACAUUAAGUAGAACUGCCUUUUAGUAACUUAAUAAAAUAAUCCUGCAUAAAUACAAAUUCCCAUUCCAAUAGGCAGAUUCUCAUCAACGUUAAAACUGACAAAAAGAUUUUGCAAGAAUUCUAUUAAGCUGUGCUUGCCAGCAAUUAAUUCCUUUCUGAAUAAAUUUUCUUGUCCUAGUACUCUUAGGAAAGAAAAAGAAAAAAAAAAACCAAAUUAUAACGCAUUUUUAAAAGAUUUAUCUUUUUCCUUCCAAAAAAUCCCAUAAAAGCCUACUUCAUCUUUCUAAUAAAUAGAGAAGCUCUUCCUAGAAAGUGUGACAAUGCACAACUCUUCUACUGUCUUUAAUUUUACAACCAUAGCUGUUUAAAAUUGCAGGCUUCUAUGACAAAAUAAGGAAAUUUAAAUCCUUUUCUUAGGGAUUUGAAGUUUCCAAAUUCCCAGAUACUUGAACUAAUACUCCAAAAUCAUUAAGAUGUUUCUGAAAAUCUCAGUGUUUUUUAAAAGCUAAUAGAUAUAAAUACUGUUUCAAAUGCGUGACCCUUAAGAUGGAGCCUUUACAACCAGAUAGCAUCAAAAGGCUUUUUACUGUGAACAACUCUAAAAGUAUUGAGGCAAAUAAGUAAAUAUUAAUUUAUUUGAAACAGUCAUGUAAGGAACAUAUUUCAGUGGUACAUCAAACCACUUCCAGGAAGUGACUUGUGAAUAAUACUGCCUCUACAGACCUGUCUACCACAGAGACUACCAGAAGUACUUUGCUGUAGAUACCACUACUGUUUUCUUUUAGUUGUCUACCACUAUCAUGGUAGAAGCAGUAGCCAGAAGCUGUGCGUUAAGCUUUAGUUCCACACCAGAAAAGACGUUCAGCUGUUUUGGCAGUGAAUGUAAACCCAAGGCUUUUCCCCAGCUUCUCUGAGGAGGUGUUGGGCUGCAAAACCCCAUAAUCCUUGCAUGCCACAUUGAGGGAUUCUGUAAGUGAGAUUGGGUUCUCCUGCUCUAGUACAUCUGAGAAUUUUUUCUCCAAGCUAAAUAAAAUACAAUAUUCAAACAUCUCUGUGUACAUAAGAUAAACAAACAAACAGCAGCAACAAAACCACCACAUUCCUAAGGUAGUUUCUGCAUUUAUACCACUAUGUUCUCUCACACCAUACUUCCAAAAAUUUCUUAUUCCUUGAUCAUUCCCAGUGCUUUCAGUGUGAUAUUUCCCUUUGUCUCACAAUGCUAUUCCUUUAUAUUUUUCUAUUAUGUUUGGCAUCAUCUUAUCCAAAACAUGUAAUACCUUUGGAAGAAGUACACUGAGAAUACACACAGUUAAACUAUCUUUGAAACAUGUAAUGUUGGCAAGAGAAAGAUUAAUAAAAGGACGACUAUAAACUAGAAGCAUAUCAGUUGCUAGCAACAUAGAAGAUAGGUCUCGGUAUGCGUAUUAGGUGACUGUGUAGUUAUUAAGUUGUCAGUGGGAUACAACAAUGAGAAAAUAAAUGUCAUGCAAGGAUGGGCCACUUACAAUAUUUCUUGUAGAGAAAGGUGAAACAGCUGUACUUUAGUUAAAGGCACCUGAAGGAUCUCAAACAGAUUUUUCUCAUCAUGAUCAUGAAAGAUUAAAUAGGUAAAGAGCUGCAGUAAUUAGUAGGGAGAAGUCUUUUUGAGAGAAUGGCUGUGCAAUUUCUACUUGUUUAGUGUAGCAGAAACAAAAGCUGAUACAGGAAAUAAUUAUCCUCUAAAAACACAAUAGGCUGGUAAACAGUAGGCAGAGAAAAGAACUAUUUACUCUACUGGACAAUGUUGGCACAGGAACAAGUGGGUGUAAUUUGGACAUAAAUAAAUGUAGGCUGGAAACUGGAAGGUUUCUGACUACAAGAGUGGUGAGAUUCUAGAGUAGCUUUCUAAGAGAUGUUAUGGGGAGGAAAAAAAACAACAAAAAAAUCAAUCCUCAAGCUAUUUAAUGAUGAGGAUUGCUAAGAUCAUGGAAAACUCUAGAGGCAUAUUUCUCGUGUAGGUAAGAACUGCAUUUUGAUCAUCCAGGAGAUAGCUUCCAGCAUAAUCAUUGCCUGCUUUCUGAAAGCGGGAUUAAAAAAAUAUAUAUAUACAUAACUAUAUAGAAAUUAAACCAUAUUUUAUAUUUAUAUUUAAUCAUGUUGAUGUAUUAGAAAUAUUGUUUCAGCAAAUGCUAUCCGUAUGUAGAAGGUAUCUGUAAUUAGGUUUGUGCUUCACAAAAAGAAAACAGUUUAAUUUGAUAAACAGUUAUCACAUUGUAUUCCACUGUCUGGAAGCUGAUUUUUCUAAAUGGAAAGACACAGUUUGUCACAUGUUAAUUUUCUUUCUUUUCUGUAUUCUUUUUUAUGUUCUAUCUUCAUUUUCUCUACAAAUCCAAGGAGCAAAGGAAAAAUUAAAUAUUGCAAAAGCAAAAUCAUAGAAUAAAGAUAUUCCUCUACAAGUGCCAAAAUAUAAACAAGUGAUAGAAUCCCACUGAAAACAGGGAAAUGAUGGCAUAUGCAUAUUUGAAAGUCAUGUCAAGUGUAUGUAUAGAUAUGUGUAUAUGAUUAGACAGAUAUUUUCAUCAUAAACAGAUUAUCAUUUAUAUUUUUUUUGUAAUGCCACUUUAAAAAGAUUUAUUGUGGAGGAAACGAUAUUAUAAACUGGAGUAUGCAUAAGCUAUUAUCUUACAGUUCAUAACUUCUCAUCAAAUAUUACAAAAAUACAUCAAAACAUGAUAUCAUAACCAUCAAAAGUCACACUGGUUAGUGUACUUGAUGAGAUAGUGGAGCAUCUCUAUGUGGCUGUAACAUAUACAGAAAAAGGGCACAGAGAAACUCUGCACCUUGCUAAUGGAGAAGCACAAUUAUAUAGGCUGGCUAUAAGAGGCUACACUCCACCUGCUGAAAAAAAAUGUAAUAGCCCUAAUGGUGACAGAAUUAAUUUAGAGAAAUUAAGAUAAUAAGAAAAAAAAAAACAUGUCCAUGUGAUAUAUAUGCAGUAUAAAAAAAAAAAAAGGCAAAUUAAUUUGAUUAUUGAAAUGAAUUUGUUUAAAGUUACACAAGAUUUUGACUGAAAUUUUCCUACACCGAUUUAUUUUUGCAUACGUAAUAUUACUGAAAUGCGCUGUUUCUUUCCCAAAGAAGGUCUGAAUGCCUGCCUUUUUUUUCCAUCAGUAAAGGACAGAAGUAUGUAUUUGGAAACAAAUAGGUUUAUGAAUCGUUAUAGAUUUAAGGGUAAACUGUCUGAACUAAAGCCAAAAUAGACAUUUUCAUACUUCUCCAGUUUUGUUGCUGACUGAAGUCAAGUAGCGCAAAGACAUAGUAAAAAUAAUGCUAAAUAAUUAAAAAUAUGAAACUCAAAUUUUGAUUCACUUUAAUUCAAAUGUUCAUCCAUGAAUGUCAGUUGUUGCCAUUUUUUCCACAUGGAGGAAUUCAGUGACACCUUUUCUUCAUACACACUUCCAUGUCAGAGUGUCCCUCUGCUGCCCUCUGUCACAUGGCAACAAAAUGUAAAAGCAUAUUGGCAGGCAGGUUCAACCUCUACUGCCAUACCACCAACUUUCACCUCUAGUGUUAUGGACCAACAUAAUAAAAUAGGAGGCAUUACUUUUGGAGAGCCCUUGUAGAACAUUCGGGACACUGGCAGAUGGAAGUCAUGCAAAUCAGAUUACAUUCUGCUACUUGUAAAUGUAUAAUGUUACGAGAGUGAUUGGUUAGUUGUUCAUUAUUAUUAUCAUUAUUAUUAAAAUAUUUAUUUUCUCUAGCACCUAAUCAGAGUCUGAAACCACAGCUCUUUUCUUUGAGGGUCUGAUAUUAUUUUCUCUCUUUUAAAUGCAAUCAUCAAUCCAACACUACAUUUGCAUGUUUUAAAUAAAAAUAGAUAAGAGAAUUGCAAUGAGGUUGUUCAAGAAAAAGCGGUUGCAUGUAUAAUGCGAAUCUUUCAGAUUUUAGUCUGUAGCUUUAUUCUGUCUGCUUUCUAAAAGUAAUCUCACAGGGGCACAUAGCUUUCUUACAUGGUGACUGUUCAUCAGCCAGAUGAGAAUCAACUCCCAAGUGUACCUCUUUUGUUUUCCCUUCAUAUGGCUCUUUGCACAAUCGUACUGAUGUUUUUUAUAAGAAGUGUGACUAGUAUAUAAUAAUGCAAUUCUUUUCUGCGCUAUUGUUAUGAGUGCAUAUAAACUGUAGAAGAAAUUGAACUAUUAAUCUACCAACAAGGUAAUUAUUUCAGAGGUGUAUACCAGCAGUGUCCCUGGGCCACUGCUAUAGUGGAAGAUGAAAGGACCUCUCCAAAUCCAAGAAGGUUGGGGAUUUUUCUAUAUCAUAUUAUGGCAACAUUUUAACACUUCACAGAUAAACUAGAAUGACUACUAUGGUUUGGUACUCAGCCUUUUAUUUUUCACUCUUGAUACCCCCGGAGUGCCACUCAAAAUUCAUUCAAGUAGUCACUUUAUAACUUUUGUGUAUUAGUGAUACAAUCACCAAAUUUUGUGUAUAUAUACACGUAAAUAUGUAUGUGUAUAUUUAUUCCCAAGUACACAGUGAGGUUAUUCUUAAUGCUCUUAAGGAAAAGAAAUUCAUAAUAAAGUCCUUAUUUUCCCAGUAAUAUGGAGGUAUGCACAUACAAAUCUGUAUGUGGCAUAGGCACAGAAAGAGUAUGCAGGUAACACUAACUUCCGUUAAAGCUUAGUGUUUCUCACCAUGACCUUGUUCUGUGCUGCCUGCAAUAGUACCAGACUUCAUUAUAUUAGUACUUUCCACAUGGAGCAUUUGCAUCAGAUGGGGAACAACAAAGGAGGCAUUCUCCCUGGGAAACAAAAAAAACAAAAGCUCAACAUUUUUUUGUGGUUGCUGGUCAAUUAGGAUUGACCAUCCAAAGACUUGGAAUGCAGUGGUAGUGACACAGAGGUAUUGGGAAGGAUCUGAGGAAGCCCAGCGAAGGUGGGUUGAGCGAGCAGAGGGAUUGUGACAAGAAAGCUGGUACACAGAAGGAGGCAAAUGUUGAGAUACAGAACUGCUAACAGCAUGUGGCACCAAACUUCCUCUGUGCUGAAGACAAACCCACUAUUGAGCAGGAAUUCAGUCUUUUUUUUCCUCAUUUCCGAGAGUACCUGCUCAUGGUUUUGCACACAUAGCACUGACAAUGGGAAUACAAACUUACUACAGGAUUUUCCUGUGACACUCCCCACAGUUCCCAUCCUUCUUCCAUCAUUUAUCAUUUUCUGAGCCCAGAUCAUGGACUUUCUUCAGUUUCCCUAUCUCCCUCAUCCAGCUCAUGGGGACAGUGCAGUGAACUGCAUAUAACUUCAGAGAGUCUGGCAGACUCCAGAUCAGGAGUGUCAUUCUAUUGGGAUUGACUACUAAUAACAAAGGAGAAGGCUAUUGCUGGAUUAAAUGCCUAUCAUGCAUCACUUGGAGACAAGCUUCCUUUUGCACACAUCUUGUAAAAUGAUUUACAGUAGGAUCUCAAUAUCCACUGGAUCUCCCUUUUUCAAGGGAUCCAACUCUCCAGUCUAAGAAGAAGCCUGUUGGGUUAAUGACCAGGGUUCUGCUGGAUCACUGAUAAUUAUGAAAAAAACUCCAGGCCCCCAAUAUCCCUGUGCCUCACCUUCUGAUAACAAGAGUUGAUCUCUUCUACUCAGUGAUACUUUCCAUUCAUAUUAUGUCUUGUUUUCUGUCUCAGCUAACUUGUAUUUCUCCUGGAUUUUUAACAUCUUGGCUUCUGUGUACUGCACCAUUCAGGUAAUCACCUGCAGGGCCUAUCCACACUGGCCACUAUCAGUCUUCUCUGUUUUACCAAAGACCUCAUAAUUCCCUCCUCAUUCUCAAGGUAAAAUAACUCCUGACUCAUUUCUAACUCCUUAAUUAGGUAUAGAGUUCCUGAAUCAAGCCGCUGCUUAUCAGUUAUUUGACCAAAUUCAAAAAUCCUGCUUUGCUUCCUGAGACUAAGUUAAGAUCUAUCUCUUGUUCCUUUUCUUCUAAUUUAGACUGCAGAUUUUUUUCCCAGAUCUAGUGUGUCACACAAGGCUGUGUGCAGACACUCACUGCUCUUAUGUUCUGUGCCUAAUUGAUCCUGCAACUUUUUCACCAAAUCCUGUAGGAACCUAUUUAUUUCCCCUUCUGCUUGUCUGUUGAAAUACUUAUCCUUUUGAGGUACCAUCAGAACCACUCCUAAGAUAGCACACACCAUGGCUUUUUCUUUUCCCAACCACAUUUUCUGUUCCUUAGGAACGGUUGCAAUUCUUUCUGCUACAGCACUAGGACCAUGACAAUUGCUCUGAAUCCAAGUCAUUUCCAGUAGGAAGGACAUGCAUUACACUUUUCCAACAUUUCAGUAACAGGAGAGCAGUUAAGCACUGGCUUUUCCUGGGGCAGCUAUGUCUUGCCACUGCUUGUACCUCUUCCAGAGUAUAGCCUUCCUGGUGUACAGCUGAGUGGUCGCUUCCUGACACUCCCUGCCUGCACUUAUGAGGUGGAACAUCAGUAUCCCUCACACCUCUCCUAGUUUAUAGCCUUCCUGGUGUGUAGCUGAAAGGUGGCCUCCAGACCUUUCAAGGAGAUCCUGCCAACUCUGCCAAAUUAAGAUGUCACAUCCCAUCUACGAAGAGCGGGAAGGGUGACCAGAUUCAUAAAUUCCAUCUGGCUAGAUUAAGGUAAAAUGAUACUCAAGGUCCAAACACAGUCAUCAAUUUUAAUGAGAAUCUCUGUACUAUGAUUAUCUUUGAAGACUGGCACUCUUACAGUUAUAUCUAUCUAAGCUGUGCAGCAAAGUGUGUGACUUCAUAAGAAAUCAAAAUAAGCCUUGCAUUACAUAACAACUUUAUGUGGGAAAAAGAAAGAAGAGAGAGAGCUGGAGGGUGUUGGGGGGAGACAGAGGGAUGGAUGGUAAAAGAAAUCACCAGUCCACGUUCCAGCACUUGUCCAGGCAAUAGGACAAUUGGGGUUUCCUCAGUCUGUGAGAACAUUUGUCCAGAAGUUCCAAAGUACUGAAGUUUCAGCUCCCCCCAGAUCUUCUCUUAGGCAUCUUUUUACGCUAUGCCUGCUAGACUUAUGUGAUUUGUCAUCAAAAAGAUCACCACAAACAAGUUUGCAGUCAAAAAUUCUACAGUGAACAUGGGAGAUUUGGACAGAGCAAGGUCACCUCUCCUCCACAGGGUUCCCUUCUCCAACCAUGUCUUCAGCUUGCAGCCUAUUGUUAUGGCUAUGGUCUCAUCUUGUUAGGUGUUUGAGACAAUUCCAGGCAUACCACAGAGAAUGUGUUUUACAUUGGUCUGCUACAGUUGAGAGAACUCAGCACUUCAGCAAGCCAGACCCAAUUGUCAAGCAUUCAGGAUAUGAAGUGCAGCUCAUAAAAAGGUCCAUUUUAAGUGGUUGCCUAGAACCAAGGUCUGUGGCAGAGGAGAGGACACACUUUAACUCCUAAAUAUACUAAAACAAACACUGAAAGUCAAGAAAGCUGAAACCGUAUGCAAUUCGUAACCAGCUCAGGCCAGUUAGUUUGCAAAACUGUCCCUAGGGAACAGGUAGGUGAUAAGUUUGAUCCAGACUGAUUUGAAGAAAAUGAUUCCAUUUUAGAAAAAGAACUGCAAUAAUCCAUGCUGACUCUGUGCAUAAUACUAGGUAUCCUACAUCACUUAGAGGAAAGGCAAAAAUAGUACUUUUGCUUGCCCCUGUAAAUGGGACAUAGUUGCUUAGGAUGAUAUGAAAUGUGUGGCCUACUUAUAGGUAUUACUGUGCUAGGGCAUAUGUAGUUAUAUCGCUGUGCAUGAAUGUACAUGUCAACAAACAGUACACUGGGUCACGGAAACUGUACUCCCAUCUCAGUAUUGAUUGACAAGUUGAAUUUUUUAGGGAAUAUGACAGGUUUACAGAAGAGCUGCCUGUGAUGACAUAGAAAUUAAAGACGUACUUACACUUUAAGUACUCUAUAAUGAUCUUUUUUCCUGUUUUAUUUUUUUCUUCUUGUUUUAGUGUUGAAGUCAGAAGAAUCAUAGAAUCAUAGAAUUGCUCAGGUUGGAAAAACCUUCAAGAUCAAUUCCAACCACAACCUAACCAUACUACCCUAACUCUAACAACCCUCCGCUAAAUCAUGUUCCUGAGCACCACAUCCAAACGGUUUUUAAACACAUCCAGGGAUGGUCACUCAACCACCUCCUUGGGGAGCCUAUUCCAGUGAUUAGCAACCCUUUCAGUAAAGAAGUUUUUCCUGAUAUCCAACCUAAGCUUACCCUGGCUCAACUUGAGGCCAUUUCCCCUCCUCCUGUCACCUGUCACCAGUGAGAAGGGACCAACCCGGCUCUUGCUGUAAACACCCUUCAGACAUUGGAAGAGAGCAAUAAGGCCUCCCCUCCCCUCACAUCCCUUCAGAAGUGUGCAGUAGAUGAGUUGUCUCCCAUCCUCCAAGUCCCUCAGCAUGCCUCUUUUUCCCCUAGACAAUCAACCAGACAGUUCCCACUUUUGGCAAUUACAUCAAUUCCCCAGGCUACGUAAAGUUUCUCAGAACCUUUCACUACCUGCAGGUCAGAGGAAUGACUCACUGCUGGAGACACAUUUUGAAUGAAUACAGGUGGCAGAAGGAACAGAAAUGAAUGAGUAGGAGAAAAGCCUUUCCGAUUGAAUGUUUCACUGAGUGUAACGGCACAUAACUCAACCCUACAUUCAGUACUGCACAAUUUCUGUAAAAUACUGAGUGUAAAUGAAUAGUAGAAUGACAAUCCUAUAGGUAAAUAAAAUCAAAUUUGGAGUUGGGGGAGUUGGUGGUUGUUCCAUUUUUAUUUUUUUUUUUUUUUUUUUUUUUUUUUUAAUUUUAAUAACUGCAUUUCCCAAUUUGGUAUUUUCCACCGGGGCUAAUUCAUAGUGUAUGUUCUAGCUAUCCAUGUCUAGCUACAGAUGUGGUAUACUGUUGCAAAUAAUAUACAAAUUGCGUACAAUUUGUUGGUAACAUUCAAGACAACACCUGUGACAGAAAUAGCGUUAGAAAUAUUUGGGGAAAAAAAGCCAAGUUUUCAGGCACUCGUAGGUCCAUAUUUUGAACUCUAUUCUUAAUUCUCUGUUCAUUAUGAAAAAUUCCAACGUAAUUAGGAGUUUAACUUGAUUUGAAUGCACAAUAAGCUCUGAUGGUAUGAGAACUGAGAAAACUAUUACCUUCACUGCAAUUCCCAUCUACUUUGCACAUUCUGUCAGCCAGAAAUCGUUCAAUUUUCAGAACUUUUGAUAACAUUGCAGGAGUGUAGAUAAAAGCACAGAGCAAGUCUACAUUCAUAGCUCAUAAAGAAAGUGCACAGAUGCUGUGAGAAGUGAUGCACCUAUUUUAGAGCCAAGGGUUUUUUUCUAUGUUAUUUAUAAUAUAAACUUAACUAGCAAUAUUGUUUACAUCCCUCACAUCCCAUGGCUAUCAUAUAGAACUAAAAAGUUGGUAAAAUGUCUAGGUAUUUCAAAUGUAUUUAUGAAUUCAUUUGGAUUUUGUUCUGUUUAACACUGAGCUUUCUGCAUUGAAGUUGAUGGUUUGGAAAUGCUGUUGUUAUUCUUUUAAGUUACUUCACUCUUACUUUAUUCCUAAGAUUUUUGUCUAGGAAUAAUGGUGUGAAUUUCACAGCAGACAGAGUGCACAGGAAUCUGGAGAAGCUUUGUACAUAGCUAUCAAUAAUGCAUCUCUCUGUAUUCUCAGGGGAUCAUAUUUCCAUAGACAGCUACAAUUAAUUCAAAGAAACUGUAAGAUGGAAAACAAAGAAAACAUGGUGGGCUCUCCUACUCUCAGGGCUUUCGUCCAAACAUAUGCAACCAUUACAGAUCAGAACUUAUAUGUUUUAAAGUAGCUAAUAAGAAUGCAGAAUUGCUGACCUAGUGAGCACAAAUAUUAUCAUCAAAACUACAGUCAAGAAGGUCCCUUCCAUUUGUGAAUAAACCAAUCCUGCAUUGCUGGUUCAAGUGUCCUAGUGAAUAGAAAACAUCUUUGGUUCAGCAUUAUGUCAAAUAUACUGGACUAGGCUCUUAUAGUUAAACAAGAAGAAAAUGAAUUAACACUUUCUUUUUUUUAUGUCAGUGACACAUGAACUCUUGCCAUGAACUUAUUGGUAGAAAAAUGGGCUCCAAUAGAUUUUUCAUGUGUGUGACUGAACAGUGAUCAUUGUCUAGACGUAGGUGAGGGUGUGGGUCCAGCAGAACACACUGAAGGAAUUUUACUCAAGUUAAUAAUUGUGUUUAAUUGGAAACUCACGUGAAGAACUGGUUUGGCCCUAAUUUUGCAGAAUAAUUUAUAGACAUGUAAAACACAACCAAAACACAAGCACAAAAUCAGACUAAUACAUCUUGCAAUAUAAUGUAGAUUAACUGUUGAAUCACAGUUGUUAGAAUUAGUGGCUUUGUGUUAGAAGUUUAAUAUUGUAGGUUCUGCCAUUUAUUUCACCACAGACAAUGAAUUAUAUAGCUUAAGCUCUUCAGCUGUAGCUGCACCCAAUUAGCUAUAGACAUAUCAGGAAAUACAUUCAUUAUGCAGUUGGCUAUACUAUAUGGGUUUUAUGCUUUUUAUGGGUUUAUAUCACAAAUAUUCACUUUGUGAUUCCCAUGGUUGAAAACUUUUUAAUGUUUUCAAUCCUCGUUAGAUUGCGCAGUCUAUUAUAUUUGCAGACUGUCUUCUUUGAAACAUCCACCAGCCCAAAAUACAGGGCUUACUUGCUGAGGUUCUCCAUCUUUUUCAGAGUACUUUGGAACAGAGUGACCUUCACAGCUGACCUCACCUCUGAGGGCACUCUCCUACAUCCUCUGGGCACUUACACUGACAGACAGCAACAGGCUUGGCCAGCACUGCAUGUUUUGAAACAUGAGGCCAGUGUGGAGCAGUGGGAGAAAGCCAAUGGCACACUAAGAAUUCAGUAAUACAGAGUGGGUUAGGAGACUCCAAAGUGAAUCAGAGUACAAUUGGUAUCAGGCCCUGAGAUGAAGACUUCAAGAGCAUUUAAACUCUGUGCUAAUUCUGUUAUGCAGCUGCUAAUGAGGACAUCCAGCACCCCAUGACAAGCCACUUUCUGCUGACUGUCACAGCAGAUAAGACUGAUAAAAAAAUCUGAACUUAAGGACUCUAUAGAACCAAAAUGGUUAACAGACCCUAAUGUCAAAACAGUAUAUGAGGCUAUGUGAAUAUGGUAAUAAUUAUAAUCAAAUAAACAAUAGCAGAACUUUGCACUCAAAGUCUUGUUUGCAUGAUUCUAUAGCAGUUAUACCAGUGUGUGUUAUAUUUGCGUACACAAAACCAUGAAAUACUCAUCAUGAAACAACUGAACCAAAACAUCUAGUUACAUUCUGAAAAAUUUGGUAAGAAUCCUUUGGGUUUAUUAAUACAGUAACAUAACGCUGGUUUUACACUUUCACCAGAGUUUCACUCUUUGCUGUGUGGAAGAAUUUUUCUUUGUUAAGUUGUGGAUACCAUGGGAAUAUGAAGAACAUAAAUAUGGCACUGAAUGGACUACUUAAUUCCAGAUAGAGCAGUAACUUCAAAGUAUGCUGUCUAAGAAAAACUGUCUGCUAAAUCACCUUAAUUAAUAAUCUAACAUUCAAGAUUUUUUCUGUAAUCAAAUUUUGUGCCCUUUCAAAUUCCUUUGUUAUCACAGCUGAAGCUGUAGAAAAACCUUCUGCCUCUUAUAGCUCUGGAGAACAGUUUUCACUCAUGUACAAGAAAUUUAGAAAUGCAAGAAACAGUGCUUUAAAAGACAGAAUAUCUGCAAUCCAAAGGCUUAAAUAAUAUUAUUAUUCACAUAUAAUAGGCUCUUAUUUGAUAAUGUUACAGUCAAAGCUGAGUAAGAAACCAAUUAUUUUUGUGUAGCAAUUCUAUAAGUGUUUUCUGAAUUAAAAAAAUAACAUAUUUUAGAUAGCCUUUCUUGUCCAGAUCUAAGGUGAACAGAUACUGAAAUACCUAAUUAGAUGUCAUGAAAUCACUCCGUGUUAUAUAACUAUGUGCUAUAAACAUGCAUUUUCCCCAAAGAAAUACAACACAGUCGUACAAGUAAGAAGAAAUAUUGCUUACCUUCCUUAGCAAAUACUUCGUGGGGGCAGAGUAAAUCUGGUCAUAAAAGAAGAAACAAGAUUGAUGUGGACAACUCACACACAUACAGACAACGGACACAGUCUUCUCCAGGAGGAAUGCCUGUUGUAGCCUCCUGUGCAUGUUUCUUACUUAUCCACACUGUAGUCAAACUAUGCUUAAAAUACCAUUCCGUGGCAUUGCUACAGGCACCGGCAUGCUGGAUAAAUGGUACUUACUGUUCCAGAAGUCACGUAUUGUCCUAUAGAAAAUAUAAACUCCAAAACCGGGAUUUGUUACAACUGAGCAGAUUGUGGCAAAACACUGUGCCUGGCUUGUCAGAGAAAUGUGGCUUUCACUGAUCAGCACGUAAUCACAACGCAUACUAUCCUUACCUCCUAUGUACGUGCAUGCGUAUGUACACACACACAUUUAAAGAAAGAGUCACAGCUUAUCUCUCACAGCCUCAUACUGAUUGCUGGAUAGGGGAGAAAUCUUGUUAGGAUUACAGAUAACCAUUUCCCUUGACCACGACUUUUGCACACAUUUCUCAUGUCGUGCAACCAAGAUGAGUGAUGUUUGGAAGCAUUUAUAACCCAGAUGCAAGUGAUUAUUCACAUAAGGCACCAAACUCAUUUUGGCUUCCCCUGCGAGAGAGUGCAGUGCUACUGCUGCAGCAGCGCAGUCGCUGUGCUGUUACUCGUUUGCUGCAGUCUUUGUGCAGGAGUACACGUUAUAAACAAAUUAGUAACACAAUAACAUCCAAUACUCAGCAACCAAAGAAAAUGAUGGAGAAUCAAUCAGAUCCUAUGGCAGGCAUGCAGAUGGGCUGUAAAAACAUUUAACAGGAGAUAGAUUUUCCUGUGCUGUCAAAGUUAAAGGCACCAAAAGGAAGCAUAUACUAAGGCAUUUUUCUUCCUCUGUGAUAUUGAUCCAAUGCCAGACGUAGUGAAGCACAAUGGGCACACAGUCAACCUUGGUAAAUUAGGUAAAUUGGAGAUCAUUUGACGGUAUUCUAUUGUUGCUAUUGUAAUCACCGUAAUUUUCACUGGUAAUGGUGCUUCGUGAUGAAGUGCGGCUCUCACAGGAUAAUUGUGAAAGGUAUCGAAAGACUCAGGGUGUAGCAUUUGGUUUUAAAAGCUCUUCAGAUUCAAAUUGGCAUUUUACUUUAUCUUGAAAAUUUAUUAGAGAUUCAGAUCAUGCCAGUUUAAAUGGAAAGGUGAAAGCAGGGUAAUUUCAAUCUAUGAAUUAUUCAGAUUCAGACUGGUGAAAUUGCCAUCCAUGAACUGAUUCCCUGACAGUUUCUUGCAGAGCCUCCAUUAUGCUUGUCAUUUUUAUUUCUUUAUCUACGAUCUCUCUCUCAGUUACUGCGCUUGUCCCUUAGGGCUGUGCUUCACAAACCAAGUAUUUCAAAUUGGCAAUAACCUAAGCGUGUUGCAGUCUCCAAUCGCAGUCUCCACAGGCUGUCUUUUCCAAAUCAUUAAAACCCACAUCCACGAUGGUGUCUGUUAGGCUCUUCAAUUAGAUGAAUUACAUAAAAAAAACAAAAAACAAAAAACAAAAAGGGAAGAGAACAGGGCUUCGUAGCGAAGAAGAGUCGGGUUCCUGUAGCAGUCCAGCAAAUAAAGUGAUGCUUUGUGCUGGCUCCUUUGUUGUCAGCGUAACCCAUUCUAGCUGCAUAGCAUCACGCAGAAAGAAACAACUGUUAAGGCAGGCUGACUUCGUGCCCUGGUUUCCAGCAGAAGCAGAUAAGGGCUGCAUUACCAACAGACUAAUCUGCGCAAAUACCCACACAGAGAGGGCGCAAGGAGCAGCUUCUUUCAGGCAUGGAGAAACAGAUGCGGUAGUAGUAGCAGUUGUAGCAAUUGUAUUAUUAGAAGGAGAAGCGACCGGAUAACGGGAACUGUUUCAUUCUCACAGACUCCAACCCAUACAGAUUGCAGUCCCAGAGCCUCUCCACUUGAUGGCUGAUUGUAUCACUGCCAGUCGCCUGCUGCCCUGUAUCCCGAAGAACUGGGACUGAUUUAGGUCAGAGUCUGGUUGUUCGCUUGAGCUUUGCUACACUGAUGUAAGAAACUGCAGCAAAUUGUAUUACCCAUCUGCACGGCCCUGGAACGCCAGCACAGCUUCGGAAGAGGAGCACCUGCAAAGGCCCCAGUCAGGCAAACAGAGACAAGUGCCGCCAUCUCCACGGUCUUGUGGCUGCAGGUGUAUCGUCACGGCACAGAGUGGGAGAGCAGCUUUCUUCCUCAGCGGCAGCGUGGGCACCGAGCUCCACACAGUCCCUGCUCAGCCGAAAGAGCUGCCAGGCUGGAGCCAGCAUAUCCAGGCUGCAUGUCUGCUUCUGCGCUAACACCAGGAAAACGUCUCUCGGACAAAAAAAAAAAAGAUGAGAAUAAAAAAUCUAUGCUGCUUUGUGCCUGGGUCUAUGCGUCUGCUUUGCCGCACUGCGACUAGAAAACUGCAGCACUAAGAGCUCUGGCAGUUGCGAUAAUGUAGAAAGCAGCAGCUCUGUGACACAGCAGUCAGCUGACUUGCAGUGUUAUCAUUCAAUGUCCUCUAUAGAAUAAGGCCAGUUUCUAAGGUAGAGCCAGAAGGAUGACCUUGAAUACAAGAAUUGGACUAGACAGAGCGCCUGUUGUCUCGUACACCUGCACAUAAUUUUGGGGUGAUAUACACCAUUUGCAUCAGGAACUGCAGGUCUUUAGUGGUCUCUUUUCCCUUCCUCCCUUCC